UCACUGAUUUUUAAAUGGAAAGAGAGAUAAGAAAAGAAAAAAAGCUGUAGAAACGAGUAAGAGUGAACAAUAGUAGUUCUAUUUAAGUAGUCAUGUCUAUGCGCCUGGCAUGUCAAAAUGUGAGAAAAAAAUAUGUCUGGGGCUGUAUUACCUUCUUCGCGAGUGUGCUUAUUUUUAUUUUUGAAGCGCGGUGGCUCUACAAUCUAGAGUUGUUUAAAAGCUGACACGUUUUUCUCGGUGAUUCUGUAUCCUGCUUCAAUUGGUGACUAACCGUUAGGUCAUAAGUAAACUCAGCGAAAAGGUCUCUCUCACACACACACAGCUUACAGUCAACACUGGUGUCUUCCAGGGAGAAACGGAGGGAUCAGAUUUCUAGACCCAGUUCCAAGCACCUGAAGCAAGUCAAACGCUGCCCCAACACCUACUGGUCUUGCAGAAUUAUCUGCCGCAAGGACAGCGCCUCGGUGAGCGGCCCUCUGAGCGGCCCUCGUAGGGAUGCGCCCGCUCUCCCUCCAGGUGCCACACCUGUUGGCAAGGUGCAGAGAGGAUCCCUCCAUGCGGAGUCACCCGGCGGCGGACGGGCGGAGGGGACGCGGGCGAGGCGAAGGAGCUGAGAACCGCACUUAGCAAUUAAACCCAGAGGAAGUUCUUCGGCGUGGAUUCACAAGAACUGCUAUUUAACGCUCCGUUUACUUUCUCUAUCUCCUACACGGUUACCUCACUUCCGAUUAAAUUAAUGAUCCCGAAUUAGCCGCGAGAGGAGCCCGCGGGUCGUCUACCACGGCCACAGCGGAAUAGUUCAAAGCCCACAGCAGAUUUCCGGACGUGCAGAAACAGACAGGAGGGAGGGCCGGUGGUCGCUGGCUCUCCCGAGCAGGAAAGGUGCAGAGAGCCGGGAGCAGGGGAGGCGCGCAAGCACCGACCGGUCACAGCUCCAAUUACCUCAUCGCUCCAACUCCCCGCCCCUCUCAAACCUGGAAGGAGCACCCCCGCCCCCCCCCCC
rnacentral:lncRNA from 1 species